AAGGAUUUAAGUUAAAUAAACUUUUAGCCUUCAAAGCUUAAAAUAAAGAGUAUCUUUAAGCCUUA
rnacentral:tRNA from 1 species